GAGGUCUUUUCUUUUUUUCUUUUUUGAGGCAAGUAUCUCCUACGAACUCUAUACUUCACCCAAUCCUUCCUUCUUCAUCCCUAGUAUAUCGCCAUCCGCCUCCCUCCCUCCGCAGUUUCCAGAUUAAUGGGAUGCUGCAAAGGACGAGAUGCCUUGAUAGCGGAAAGGAAAACCGCAGCUCUCACCCUUCCCUCCCUCUACAGGAUGCGAGAAAACUACUCCGCGGUGGUGGCCGUGAGAUCACUUCGUUUUAUGCAUCUCAUUUUUGUUUUACCUAUCACGGUUUAGCUUUUUUUCCCUGUCUUUCCUCGCUGAAAAGAUCAAAGAAAUUCCCAGCGAGGGGAGAUGAAUAGCAGGGUACGGCGACUGGCAGCUCAAACACACAAAUCAAACAAGCUGGUGUUUGCCCGCCUCGUAUCGGGCUACGUUUAUCACCAACAUUAUCAAAGUUUAUGAGUGAAACAUUCAAGGCGACUGUUUACGGUAUAAUUUGUCUCUUUCGCUACUUUACUUUCGCACUUUUCGCAACUUUUUUUUUUUUUCCAUUCACGAAUGUGUCUUAAUUUCGUCGUUUGCCAGGUUACAAAGACUAUAGUUUUUGAUUCGGUGAGUUCAGAGUGUCGGAUAAAGUUUGUUCAAAACUUCGAAUGUUAAUGAAACUUUAAGCGAGGCGGUGCGAGUCUCAAUGCCAGUCGGCGACAACGCCGCCAGUGAGUGGCGCUCGUGGCCGCGGGUGUAGUGUGAAUUUAUUUGUGUGUGUGCGCGUUAUGGAACGAGGGAGCAAACAAGCAACACAAUCUUCCCGCCUGGGCAACACACAGUGGUGGUGACGUGGUGAUCUGCUGCUGCCCUCCCUCCGUCACUGUUAAAGUUCGGUUCGAGGGAAGAGCAAGGUCCGAAAAAGAGGAGAGGGAAAGCGCACCUGCCUGGUCAAAGGUCUGGGAGGAGAAUGGGAGACUGCUGGAAGAACUGUAAGAAUGAAAGAUCUUGAUACUGGACAUUGUGACUAUAGAAAGAAGUGGAGACUUUUUAAACAGAGGUAUGUAUU